rnacentral:rRNA from 1 species
CCAGACUCCUACGGGAGGCAGCAGUGGGGGAUAUUGCACAAUGGGGGAAACCCUGAUGCAGCGACGCCGCGUGAGUGAAGAAGUAUUUCGGUAUGUAAAGCUCUAUCAGCAGGGAAGAAAAUGACAGUACCUGACCAAGAAGCCCCGGCUAACUACGUGCCAGCAGCCGCGGUAAUACGUAGGGGGCAAGCGUUAUCCGGAUUUACUGGGUGUAAAGGGAGCGUAGACGGUUAUGUAAGUCUGGAGUGAAAGCCCGGGGCCCAACCCCGGGACUGCUUUGGAAACUGUGUAACUGGAGUGCAGGAGGGGCAGGCGGAAUUCCUGGUGUAGCGGUGAAAUGCGUAGAUAUCACGCAGAACUCCGAUUGCGA